CCUACGGGAGGCAGCAGUGAGGAAUAUUGGUCAAUGGGCGGAAGCCUGAACCAGCCAAGUAGCGUGCGGGAUGAAGGCCCUACGGGUCGUAAACCGCUUUUGCACGGGGAUAACACCCUCCACUUGUGGCGGUCUGCAGGUACCGUGCGAAUAAGGGCUGGCUAAUUCCGUGCCAGCAGCCGCGGUAAUACGGAAGGCCCGAGCGUUUUCCGGUUUCAUUGGGCUUAAAGGGAGCGUGGGCGGGCGUUCAAGUUAGCUGUAAAAUCGCGCGGCUCAACCGCGCCCCGCAGUUGAAACUGGACGCCUUGGGUUGACAACAGGCAGGCGGAAGUGGGGGUGUAGCGGUGAAA
rnacentral:rRNA from 1 species